rnacentral:rRNA from 1 species
GACGAACGCUGGCGGCGUGCUUAACACAUGCAAGUCGAACGAUGAUCCGGAUCUUGCUCCUGUGAUUAGUGGCGAACGGGUGAGUAACACGUGAGUAACCUGCCCCUGACUCUGGGAUAAGCGUUGGAAACGACGUCUAAUACUGUAUAUGAUCACUGGCCGCAUGGUCUGGUGGUGGAAAGAUUUUUUGGUUGGGGAUGGACUCGCGGCCUAUCAGCUUGUUGGUGAGGUAAUGGCUCACCAAGGCGACGACGGGUAGCCGGCCUGAGAGGGUGACCGGCCACACUGGGACUGAGACACGGCCCAGACUCCUACGGGAGGCAGCAGUGGGGAAUAUUGCACAAUGGGCGAAAGCCUGAUGCAGCAACGCCGCGUGAGGGAUGACGGCCUUCGGGUUGUAAACCUCUUUUAGUAGGGAAGAAGCGAAAGUGACGGUACCUGCAGAAAAAGCACCGGCUAACUACGUG